AGUGAACGCUGGCGGUAGGCCUAACACAUGCCAGUCGAACGGCAGCACAGUAAGAGCUUGCUCUUACGGGUGGCGAGUGGCGGACGGGUGCGGAAUACAUCGGCAUCUACUUUUUCGUGGGGGAUAACGUAGGGAAACUUACGCUAAUACCGCAUACGACCUACGGGUGAAAGCAGGGGAUCUUCGGACCUUGCGCGAUUGAAUGAGCCGAUGUCGGAUUAGCUAGUUGGCGGGGUAAAGGCCCACCAAGGCGACGAUCCGUAGCUGGUCUGAGAGGAUGGUCAGCCACACUGGAACGGAGACACGGUCCAGACUCCUACGGGAGGCAGCAGUGGGGAAUAUUGGACAAUGGGCGCAAGCCUGAUCCAACCAUGCCGCGUGGGUGAAGAAGGCCUUCGGUUUGUAAAGCCCUUUUGUUUGGAAAGAAAAGCAGCAGGUUAAUACCCCGCUGUUCUGACGGUACCCAAAGAAUAAGCACCGGCUAACUUCGUG
rnacentral:rRNA from 1 species